UACGUAGGGACCAAGCGUUGUUCGGAUUUACUGGGCGUAAAGGGCGCGUAGGCGGCCUGCUAAGUCACACGUGAAAUCCCUCGGCUCAACCGGGGAACUGCGUGUGAUACUGGCGGGCUUGAAUUCGGGAGAGGGAUGUGGAAUUCCAGGUGUAGCGGUGAAAUGCGUAGAUAUCUGGAGGAACACCGGUGGCGAAGGCGGCCGACCUGGACGGUAACUGACGCUAAGACGCGAAAGCGUGGGGAGCAAACAGG
rnacentral:rRNA from 1 species